rnacentral:rRNA from 1 species
UGAACGCUGGCGGCGUGCCUAACACAUGCAAGUCGAACGGGACUAUGAAGUGAGUGUUUCGGACUGAACUUUUAGUUAGUGGCGGACGGGUGAGUAACGCGUGGACAACCUGCCUCUCACUGGGGGAUAGCAGCUGGAAACGGCUGGUAAUACCGCAUGCGUUCAAUGUGCCGCAUGACACAUUGAAGAAAGAUUUAUCGGUGAGAGAUGGGUCCGCGUCUGAUUAGCCAGUUGGCGGGGUAACGGCCCACCAAAGCGACGAUCAGUAGCCGGCCUGAGAGGGCGGACGGCCACAUUGGGACUGAGACACGGCCCAGACUCCUACGGGAGGCAGCAGUGGGGGAUAUUGCACAAUGGGCGCAAGCCUGAUGCAGCGACGCCGCCGUGAGUGAAGAAGUAUUUCGGUAUGUAAAGCUCUAUCAGCAGGGAAGAAAGGCCCGCAAGGGAGAUGACGGUACCUGACUAAGAAGCCCCGGCUAAUUACGUGCCAGCCGCUGC